GGGUCAGUAGGUUGGUCGUGCCACCGGUACGUACUGGUCUCACUGAUUCCUCCUUCCUGAAGAACCGUAAUGCCAUUAAUUUGGUGUUGCGGGGAAAUAGGACUGUUACUUUGAAAAAAUUAGAGCGUUUAAAGCAAGCUAACGCUUGAAUACAUUAGCAUGGAAUAAUGAAAUAGGACGAUCGAUCCUAUUUUGUUGGUUUCUAGGAUUGACGUA
rnacentral:rRNA from 1 species